CCAGGCCCUACGGGGUGCAGCAGGCGCGAAACCUCCGCAAUGCACGCAAGUGCGACGGGGGAACCCCAAGUGCCACUCUUAACGGGGUGGCUUUUCAGAAGUGUAAAAAGCUUCUGGAAUAAGGGCUGGGCAAGACCGGUGCCAGCCGCCGCGGUAACACCGGCAGCUCAAGUGGUAGCCGCUUUUAUUGGGCCUAAAGCGUCCGUAGCCGGUCUGAUAAGUCUCUG
rnacentral:rRNA from 1 species